AACGAACGCUGGCGGCAUGCCUAACACAUGCAAGUCGAACGAGACCUUCGUGUCUGGUUGCUCACGGGUGCGUCGCGCGUGGGACCCUUCCCUUAUGUUCGGAAUACUUCCCUUACGUGGGUGCUAAUGCCGGAUAAUUUCUUCUGACCAAAGAUUCAUCGCCCUUGUAUGGGCACGCGUUGGAUUAGCCUGUUGGUAUUGUAAGAGCCUACCACGGCUACGCUCCAUAGCUGGUCUGAGAGGAUGAUCAGCCACACUGGGACUGGGACACGGCCGAGACUCCUACGGGAGGCAGCAGUGGGGAAUAUAGGAAAAUGGGCGAAAGCAUGAACCAGCAAGGCCGCGUGAGUGAUGAAGGCCGGAGGGUAGUAAAGCUCUUUUACCCGGGAUGAUAAUGACAGUACCGGGAGAAUAAGCACCGGCUAACUCCGUG
rnacentral:rRNA from 1 species